UAACAUGAAUGACCCAUAUACUAGAAGUCAAUUCAUCAUCUUUAUCUCUGUUUGCUUUUUUGUCUAGAAAAAUCCUAAAACCUUAAACUUUAACCAACAACAACACUUUAACUGAGAUAAUGUUUGUUACGAACCAGCAAAGAAAUGAUCCUUGUCAUGGUUUUCAUCCGAUCUUUGGUGCAUGCCUAUAUAAUCGGCUUGGAUGCAAUCUCUUUUGUUGAGAUCUAGUUUUGGAUUGAAUGAUUCUGUAUGCAUACAUAUGUUAUAUUUGAGUUUUUUUUUUUAAUUUCAUCUCUGGAUCGAUCUUCAGCCUCUCUCGGUUCAUUGGGAACAGUUGAACUCAUAGCCAAUUUGGAUUUCUCCUUGUCUUCUACCUCUAUAUCUGAUCGAUAUCUGUUUCAUCGUUAUGCUUCCUAGCGGCAUUUCAAGUUGUGUUAUCCGAGUUCGCCUAUCCCAGUCAAGCUUAAGAACUUUAUGAAGUUCUGUCUCAUCGGUGAUUGAAGUUGUAGUCUUUAAAUCUGUUGGGCUAUUCACUAUUAAGAGGUUCGUUUUGUUGGUGGUUGUGUUGGCUCCGUCGCUUAUGUUAUACAAAUGUUCUCUGUUCAAUUUCAUGCAAAGUUUGGCCUAAGAUUUUCUGGAUUUUUUAUGAUUCAUCAUGCUGUAUUAGUUUUGUAUUUUUCUUAUUAGUCUUAUGUUUUGUUGUUCGACUUGUUUUUCAUCUGUGGGCAUAUGACUCUGGGACUGAUGUGUUUGUCUGCCGACUUAGGACUCCGGGAUUACUUCAAUUGUCGGCUUAUGUAAUUUUACUCAGUGAAUAUAAUCAAUUUUUAGUGAAAAAAGGUUUGUAAUCAUAAUCUCUC
rnacentral:lncRNA from 1 species